AGCAGUCGCCGCGAGAAUACAGAGGGUGCGAGCGUUAAUCGGAUUUACUGGGCGUAAAGCGUGCGUAGGCGGCUUUUUAAGUCGGAUGUGAAAUCCCUGAGCUUAACUUAGGAAUUGCAUUCGAUACUGGGAAGCUAGAGUAUGGGAGAGGAUGGUAGAAUUCCAGGUGUAGCGGUGAAAUGCGUAGAGAUCUGGAGGAAUACCGAUGGCGAAGGCAGCCAUCUGGCCUAAUACUGACGCUGAGGUACGAAAGCAUGGGGAGCAAACAGGAUUAGAUACCCCUGUAGUCCCUGUCUCUUAUAC
rnacentral:rRNA from 1 species